AGCUAUCGCUUCGUAUACAGAAAAAUUUUCUUUAUAUACGGCGGAUUUUUUGGUGUGCCCGGGAAAAUAAGUAUUUCGGGGCAUGACAGGUUUGUAUUUUAAAAACAUUCUAUACAUUUUUACUUUAAUUUUAAUAUCAAACUUCAAUACUAUAUUUAUAAUAUGAUGAACGAUCAAUUUCAUAUUUGAAAUAUUUUAAAAACAUCCAAACUAUGAUCGGUCGAUUUUUAAUUUUAAUAAUUAAAUAUUUUAAAAUUUAUUAGAUACUUUAACAUAUUCUUUCCUCAAAUAAAAUUACUGAUUGAACAAAAUUGACCGAUGCUCAACUCUAUUUUCAUCUAAAAUAAAAUUAAAAUAUAAAAAUAAUAAAUUCCGUUUUCGAUUCUCAAACUAUAAGACGUAUGACACUUUAGUCCAUGAAUUUUAAUAAGCUAUAUUUUUUAACCCAAACAGUAAGAUGUAUGACACUUUAGUCCAUAAAUUUUAAUAAAGAAUUAUAUUUUCUUACUCAAACUAUCAGGCACGUGACGCUUUAGAGCUCAUACUUUAAUUAGUUGUAAUUUCUAACUCGAAUUAUAAGGCAUGUGACAUUCUAAUCGUCAACUUUACU
rnacentral:lncRNA from 1 species